rnacentral:rRNA from 1 species
GAUUAUGGCUCAGGACGAACGCUGGCGGCGUGCCUAACACAUGCAAGUCGAGCGGAGACAUACGACGAAGCGGAAUUUUCGGAAGGAAGCGGAGAUGUAUGUUUAGCGGCGGACGGGUGAGUAACGCGUGAGCAACCUGUCCUUCACAGGGGGAUAACACAGCGAAAGUUGUACUAAUACCGCAUAAGACCACGGAGGGGCAUCCCUAAGGGGGUCAAAAGGAGUAAUCCGGGUGAAGGGUGGGCUCGCGUCCGAUUAGAUAGUUGGUGAGGUAACGGCCCACCAAGUCAACGAUCGGUAGCCGACCUGAGAGGGUGAUCGGCCACAUUGGGACUGAGACACGGCCCAAACUCCUACGGGAGGCAGCAGUGGGGAAUAUUGGGCAAUGGGGGGAACCCUUGACCCAGCAACGCCGCGUGAGGGAAGAAGGUUUUCGGAUCGUAAACCUCUGUCCUUGGUGAAGAGAAGGAGACGGUAGCCAAGGAGGAAGCCCCGGCUAACUACGUGCCAGCAGCUGC